CUGGAUUCCCUCCUGGGACCAGCAUCACCGCUUCAUGGAUCUGUUUCAGCUCUCAUAUGUGCAAAUGUUUUGGGGUUAAACCAUCAGAGGGGGGGGAGGCUGACCUCUGGGACUUCUGUGGUCUUUCAGUGUGCACAUCAGUGUGCACGUCGAGGCAUCGUCGACAUUUUGGAAACAUCUGGAACCACCCGGGAAGAGGUAAAAGGAAACAGUCUGGCCUUUCUGGACUGCGCAGUCAAGAUCACUGAGGACAGAAAUCUCACCAUCGAAGUCUACAGAAAACCUACACAUACCGACCAGUACCUCCAGUUUGACUCUCACCACCCACUGGAACACAAGUUGGGAGUGAUCAGAACUCUCCAACACCGGGCCAGAGAAAUACCCACCACAUCCCAAGGCAGAAAGAAGGAACAGAACCACAUUAAGACAGCUCUCAAAACAUGUGGCUACCCAGACUGGGCCUUCACCAAAACCUCAAGAAAGCAAGACCUCAGCAAAGGAGAGGAGGAGAGAAACAAACGCCGCAGCGUUUCCAUCCCCUACCUGUCUGGAGUCUCGGAGAAGUUUAGGAGGAUCCUCCAGAAACACGACAUACCGGUUCAUUUCAAACCCAGCAACACUCUCAGACAGAGGUUAGUACACCCAAAGGACAAGACACCAAGACCCAAACAAAGUAAUGUUGUUUAUGCUGUACAGUGCCAGGAGAAAUGCAAGGAACUGUACAUUGGGGAAACCAAACAACCUCUACACAGAAGAAUGGCACAACACAGACGUGCCACCUCUUCGGGUCAGGAUUCAGCAGUCCACUUACACUUAAAGGAGAGUGGGCACUCCUUCGAGGACAGCCAAGUACGGAUACUGGCCAGAGAAGACCGCUGGUUCGAAAGGGGGGUCAAGGAAGCUAUCCAUGUUAAAUUGGAGAAACCAUCCUUAAACAGGGGUGGUGGCCUGAGGCACUUCCUAUCACCCACAUACAAUGCAGUCCUCCACUCCUUCCAACAGCAAAACAAACAUUCACACCAUUCCAAGAGACCCAGUGACUCAUCACCAUGUGACCCAGCAGACAAAGGGGAGACAUCUCAACAGAAACUAGGUCAACGACCCGACCAACGACCCUGCUAA
rnacentral:lncRNA from 1 species